rnacentral:misc_RNA from 1 species
UGUGGGAGCGGGCUUGCCCGCGAUGGCAGUGUGUCAGCCAACAUCAAUGUCGAAUUUGAUGGCCUCAUCGCGGGCAAGCCCGCUCCCACA